UGGGGAAUAUUGCACAAUGGGCGAAAGCCUGAUGCAGCAACGCCGCGUGAGUGAUGAAGGCCUUCGGGUUGUAAAGCUCUGUCUUUUGGGACGAUAAUGACGGUACCAAAGGAGGAAGCCACGGCUAACUACGUGCCAGCAGCCGCGGUAAUACGUGGAUGGUCGCAAGCGUUUGUCCGGAUUUACUGGGCGUAAAGGAUGCGUAGGCGGAUUUUUAAGUGAGAUGUGAAAUACCCGGGCUUAACUUGGGUGCUGCAUUUCAAACUGGGAAUCUAGAGUGCGGGAGAGGAGAAUGGAAUUCCUAGUGUAGCGGUGAAAUGCGUAGAGAUUAGGAAGAACACCAGUGGCGAAGGCGAUUCUCUGGACCGUAACUGGCGCUGAGGCAUGAAAGCGUGGGUAGCAAACAGGAUUAGAUACCCUGGUAGUCCACGCCGUAAACGAUGAGUACUAGGUGUAGGAGGUAUCGACCCCUUCUGUGCCGCAGUUAACACAAUAAGUACUCCGCCUGGGAAGUACGAUCGCAAGAUUAAAACUCAAAGGAAUUGAC
rnacentral:rRNA from 1 species